UACAAUUUUUUAUUUUUCGUCUUAUUAAAAUAAUUUGCAAUUGAUAUUUUUAUUUUUAUUAGAUGAUAAGUCAUGAAUAGUACUUUACGUGUGACUAAGUUUUUUCUAAUUUCUAAAAAGUUUUCAAAUAAAACGGAUGGUUAAACAUUGGACACGGAAAC
rnacentral:pre_miRNA from 1 species